CUUUUUGUCUGAUUUUCCCCUUCUUACAUUUCAGGUUAUCCUUUUAACGGGGAAGAAGUAGUGACAAGAUCUUGUGCCAAGUCCUGCGUUGAGACAAGUCAAGAUGUCCUUGGAAACGAUCGUCCAGUGUUUUGCUGCACAAGUGACUACUGCAACAACAGAGGAUUGUUUUGGACUUCGGACCACAACGCAAACUCAACGGGCAUUGUCCCCCAGAGCUAUGGUGUAAUGACUAUAUCAGUGGGUUUAACAUGGGUCCUGUACUGGACUUAUUAGUCGAUUAGAUACUGUAAAAAAAUCCAAUAUUUUCAUAAGAGCAUCAUCUGAAGAUGACUGAAGUCCAUGAGUUUUAGGAAACUUUUGGAGAUAAAUAUUGCAUUGUCCCGAGCUCUUCAGCUCUCUAUAUUGCGGUAGCAAACCUGGCCUCUUCACCAAGCUUUAUUAUGCUAGAAUUUACUCUCAGUCAGAUUACAUUGAAGGCAAAUUUCUAUGUGAUCCGAAUAUUUUUCCCCUGAAACAUUCAUCCUGGGCCUUUUUCUCACUGAUGCUAUUUGGCUCACUGUAUUUCAUAGACGAAGCAGCAUUGUGAGUAAAUAGGAAUGGAGGCUAGGGUAGCUUUCGGACGUUAAGACGUUAGACUCCAUCACUGAAAUCUGACUCUGCCCAAUCUACAUAAACGCUACCUCCUGCCCCAAUCACCAAGAGAUUGAUGUCUCAUGAGAAAGGGCAAGAUGUGGUGGUGGCGGUGGAGGAAAGCUCUGUAUAAAAUAAAGGCAGCCAAUGAUAUAAUGGGUAAUUAUAUGCACAAAUCAAAUGGGAUUAGGAUCUUAGAAAUGUAGUUAGCCUUCAUUGGUGGCGUGGUUCAGGGUUACAGUGCCCCAUGACAUUUGUUCUUUGCAUCAAAUAGUUAGAUUCCGCGGUCUCCCUCUUAAGUAAAAUGGAACUGGAUUACCUCUUUACUCACCAGCACCACAAUAGACUCUUCUCCGCAGCCUGACCCAUCUCUGCUAAUGUCAUCAGGUUUCUUAUUGGGUUUUGUCCAAUCAAAUGCUUCUCAUAAAGCAUUGUGGACUUAAAGCACAUGCACAGCAAUUGCUGCGAUGUCCCAAUUAGAUGUUCUCCUCUGUUGCACUGAGAAUGGAUGUAAUAUGAAUUCGGUACAUGCUAGGGUCUUGUGGAAAACAGAAAUGUUAUCACUAAAACCUUGGUAGAAAACCUUCCCUGAUGGAGCAAGGAUGGAGAAUAUAAACGCAGAUCUUUUCCAAAACUCUCUGUAUCACAUUGCUACAUCACUGAGUUAUACAUCCAGUCAUUGCUACACAAUAUUAUACUAUAUAGAUAACUGUUAUCUUCUCUGUUUUUACUGUGACUGUAUACUUAUUUCUGUUUCUUGUUAAUAUAUACAUACAAAGUAAUUUUCUAGCGUG